GGCUCUGUAGUGUAGCGGUCAUCACUCAAGAUUCUGAUGAUAUGGUUUAAACGUAGCGUCUCGUAUUCUUGAAACCCAGGUUCGAUUCCUGGCAGGGCCU